rnacentral:rRNA from 1 species
AUUGAACGCUGGCGGCAGGCUUAACACAUGCAAGUCGAACGAGUGGCGGACGGGUGAGUAAUGUCUGGGGAACUGCCCGAUAGAGGGGGAUAACUACUGGAAACGGUGGCUAAUACCGCAUACCAUCGGAUGUCCCCAGAUGGGAUUAGCUUGUAGGUGGGGUAAAGGCUCACCAAGGAGACGAUCCCUAGCUGGUCUGAGUGGAUGACCAGCCACACUGGAACUGAGACACGGCCCAGACUCCUACGGGAGGCAGCAGUGGGGAAUAUUGCACAAUGGGCGCAAGCCUGAUGCAGCCAUGCCGCGUGUAUGAAGAAUGCCUUAGGGUUGUAAAGUACUUUCAGCGGGGAGGCGUUACCCGCAGAAGAAGCACCGGCUAACUCCGUGCCAGCAGCCGCGGUAAUAC